UACGUAGGCAGCAAGCGUUGUUCGGAGUUACUGGGCGUAAAGGGUGUGUAGGCGGUUCUUUAAGUUUGGUGUGAAAUCUCCCGGCUCAACUGGGAGGUGCGCCGAAUACUGAGGGACUAGAGUACGGGAGAGGAAAGUGGAAUUCCUGGUGUAGCGGUGAAAUGCGUAGAUAUCAGGAGGAACACCGGUGGUGUAGACGGCUUUCUGGACCGUAACUGACGCUGAGAACACGAAAGCGUGGGUAGCAAACAGG
rnacentral:rRNA from 1 species